GACACGCCAUCUCUUCAUCCUCCUCUCCCUCAUCACUGUCCUGAAGGAGGAAGUAAUAGAAAGACAAACGGCCAAAACUAUGGUGAAACCCGACCACUCUCCUGCUUCUGUGUCCGGUGUAACACUAGAGGAGAUAUGAGCUGGGCAGAAAAACAGGUGAAUACAGAGUCAAACUGGGCAAAGAGUACGUCCUGUUCAUGCCCCUCCCCCUCCCCCGAGAUGAAUUAGGGUCGACAGAACAAUGCUGCUCUCCGCCCUUCCUGCAGCACCUGGAACCGCACUGCUAGGGGUGACUAGUAAUUAGGUAAGGUGAUAAAUAUGCAUGAGCGAGUGGGUGGUUUUUAAAC